rnacentral:rRNA from 1 species
GAUGAACGCUGGCGGCGUGCCUAAUACAUGCAAGUCGAGCGAACAGACGAGGAGCUUGCUCCUUCGACGUUAGCGGCGGACGGGUGAGUAACACGUAGGUAACCUACCUAUAAGACUGGGAUAACUUCGGGAAACCGGAGCUAAUACCGGAUAAUAUUUCGAACCGCAUGGUUCGAUAGUGAACGAUGGCUUUGCUAUCACUUAUAGAUGGACCUGCGCCGUAUUAGCUAGUUGGUAAGGUAACGGCUUACCAAGGCAACGAUACGUAGCCGACCUGAGAGGGUGAUCGGCCACACUGGAACUGAGACACGGUCCAGACUCCUACGGGAGGCAGCAGUAGGGAAUCUUCCGCAAUGGGCGAAAGCCUGACGGAGCAACGCCGCGUGAGUGAUGAAGGUCUUCGGAUCGUAAAACUCUGUUAUUAGGGAAGAACAAACGUGUAAGUAACUGUGCACGUCUUGACGGUACCUAAUCAGAAAGCCACGGCUAACUACGUG